CCUGUCCCUUGAGGCAUUGCAGAUGUGGCUGCUGUGUCACGUGUGCGUCAGUAGGUGGCAGAGAGGAGAGAGGCUAAGCCUAUGCUCAGUGUUCCGACCUGUGAACAUCUAAAAAAAGUGAGUCAGGUGCU